ensembl:lncRNA
UGUCGGGCGAUCAUGGGAUUGGGAUCACUAACAACAAAAAGCUGAAAACUUCGAACGAAUGAAGACGCUGUUGCCCUGUUUCAUCCUUUUUUCCUGAUUUUCAGUUGUGCCCAUGGCCCUCUAGACGGAUAUCAGCGCAACAAAGAGUGGCUGGACCCAGGCUCAUUGGCAGCAGUAAAGUUGGAGAACAUAAUGAUGAGGACUGCCUUACUGAAAGAUGUUCGACAGCUGUCUCCAUAGCACCAGACCUUCUCCCUUGAGGCUUACCACUCCCUCAUCUUGCACUUCGCGCCCAAGCACACAGGGUUUUCAUACUUUGGGAUGUAUAGCAGGCUUCUCUUAGCGGCGCUGCAUUAUAAUCACAAUGCCAAUCGCGAGACAGCACGGAGAAGUGACGGGACGGAGAAGUACUGCGUGCGGUAUCCGCACUUCAGAAAAGGUGCCCAUGUGGUGCGUCCCAUGAAAGAGGCAGCCUCAUACGGUUAUGCAACAUCAUUAAUGAAGGCCCUUUGGGAGAGCUAUGCCAAUUCACCCGCGGUUCUUCGGGAGGUCAGCGCCAAUUUGUCCUCCCAUGCACCCGCCCCCCAUCGCCAAAUCCUUCGAACAGAUUCCGAAGGAGGAGUCCGUCAGCCUUUACCUAGCCCGGCAGUCACGCUUCAAGAAAACCUAAUUUCACAUUAUUAUUUUUUUCCACAGACAUGUCCAAUGAUUUAGUUGUAAGUAUUUAUUUUAGUUGUUAGUUAUCUUCUAACCUACUGUCCCUGUCAUCUCAUUUGGUGGUGGUUUCCUUCAUGCUGCAUGUUUUAUUUUUCUAUUUUUGUGCUUUGUUUUUUACUUUGCACAAAAUCAUUACUUUUUUUCGUCAAUAAGUGCCAAUAAUUGUCGCUGUGCCCCAUUCAAGGGGUCCUGCAUGCUGCAUGUCUGCUCCUCUGUCUGUGUGCUUGUUUUUUUUGUUGUUGUUAUUAUUUGCAUGAAAUUUCUUUGCAUGUAAUUCAAAAUAAUUUACCAAUCAUUAUACCUGUGCCUUGUCAACCUCUGUGUACGGUGUUGUCUGGGCUCACCUGGCCAACCUGUGUCAUGUUCAGUAACCAUUACAAGCAAUGCCAAUAAACCGUUUUUUUUUUAUCCAAAA